GCAUGGGUUUGGAUUUAUGGCAGGUCCGAUCCCAUGGGCCUCUCACAGUACCCCAUGCCAAAGCAAACUGUAGCCCCGAACCAUUGCCUGGCUUUACCCCGUCGGCUUCAGGCACUGACGCGGGUUGCACAGUG
rnacentral:snoRNA from 1 species